UACGGAGGGCGCAAGCGUUGCUCGGAAUCACUGGGCGUAAAGCGCGUGUAGGCGGCUUGGUAAGUCGGGUGUGAAAGCCCGGAGCUCAACUCCGGAACUGCACUCGAAACUGCCUCGCUCGAGUCCCGGAGAGGGUGGUGGAAUUCCCGGUGUAGAGGUGAAAUUCGUAGAUAUCUGGAGGAACACCAGUGGCGAAGGCGGCCACCUGGACGGUGGCUGACGCUGAGACGCGAAAGCGUGGGGAGCAAACAGG
rnacentral:rRNA from 1 species